GGGCCGCUGGUCUAGUGGUAUGAUUCUCGCUUAGGGUUCACCCUGAUAGUUACAAAGUUUGAUUUAUUUUCCUUCCUUGGGAGAUAUAAACUUGCGAGAGGUCCCGGGUUCAAUCCCCGGGUGGCCCC